GAAAUGCGAUACUUGGUGUGAAUUGCAGAAUUCCGUGAAUCAUCGAAUCUUUGAACGCACAUUGCGCCUGCUGGUAUUCCGGUAGGCAUGCCUGUUUGAGCGUCAGCAAAACCUCUCAGCGAUAAUUUUAUUGUUGGUUAUGGGUGGAGAGAGCAUGCAUGGCCUUUGGCUACUCUUCCCUUAAACUUGCUGCACAACCGCAAGCUUAUGCUAGGUUAAUGGAGUGGUGUUUACAAUAUUCCAGCUGCCAGCAAAGUGAACGGCGUUAGAUCUGAUGUUGCUUUACUGCAACUGAAGUUUGACCUCAAAUCAGGCAAGGAUACCCGCUGAACUUAA
rnacentral:misc_RNA from 1 species